GAGUGGCGAACUGGUGAGUAACACGUGGGAAACCUGCCCAGAAGCGGGGGAUAACACCUGGAAACAGAUGCUAAUACCGCAUAACAACUUGGACCGCAUGGUCCGAGUUUGAAAGAUGGCUUCGGCUAUCACUUUUGGAUGGUCCCGCGGCGUAUUAGCUAGAUGGUGAGGUAACGGCUCACCAUGGCAAUGAUACGUAGCCGACCUGAGAGGGUAAUCGGCCACAUUGGGACUGAGACACGGCCCAAACUCCUACGGGAGGCAGCAGUAGGGAAUCUUCCACAAUGGACGAAAGUCUGAUGGAGCAACGCCGCGUGAGUGAAGAAGGGUUUCGGCUCGUAAAACUCUGUUGUUAAAGAAGAACAUAUCUGAGAGUAACUGUUCAGGUAUUGACGGUAUUUAACCAGAAAGCCACGGCUAACUACGUGCCAGCAGCCGCGGUAAUACGUAGGUGGCAAGCGUUGUCCGGAUUUAUUGGGCGUAAAGCGAGCGCAGGCGGUUUUUUAAGUCUGAUGUGAAAGCCUUCGGCUCAACCGAAGAAGUGCAUCGGAAACUGGGAAACUUGAGUGCAGAAGAGGACAGUGGAACUCCAUGUGUAGCGGUGAAAUGCGUAGAUAUAUGGAAGAACACCAGUGGCGAAGGCGGCUGUCUGGUCUGUAACUGACGCUGAGGCUCGAAAGUAUGGGUAGCAAACAGGAUUAGAUACCCUGGUAGUCCAUACCGUAAACGAUGAAUGCUAAGUGUUGGAGGGUUUCCGCCCUUCAGUGCUGCAGCUAACGCAUUAAGCAUUCCGCCUGGGGAGUACGGCCGCAAGGCUGAAACUCAAAGGAAUUGACGGGGGCCCGCACAAGCGGUGGAGCAUGUGGUUUAAUUCGAAGCUACGCGAAGAACCUUACCAGGUCUUGACAUACUAUGCAAAUCUAAGAGAUUAGACGUUCCCUUCGGGGACAUGGAUACAGGUGGUGCAUGGUUGUCGUCAGCUCGUGUCGUGAGAUGUUGGGUUAAGUCCCGCAACGAGCGCAACCCUUAUUAUCAGUUGCCAGCAUUAAGUUGGGCACUCUGGUGAGACUGCCGGUGACAAACCGGAGGAAGGUGGGGAUGACGUCAAAUCAUCAUGCCCCUUAUGACCUGGGCUACACACGUGCUACAAUGGAUGGUACAACGAGUUGCGAACUCGCGAGAGUAAGCUAAUCUCUUAAAGCCAUUCUCAGUUCGGAUUGUAGGCUGCAACUCGCCUACAUGAAGUCGGAAUCGCUAGUAAUCGCGGAUCAGCAUGCCGCGGUGAAUACGUUCCCGGGCCUUGUACACACCGCCCGUCACACCAUGAGAGUUUGUAACACCCAAAGUCGGUGGGGUAACCUU
rnacentral:rRNA from 1 species